GGAGAUGUAGCUCAGUGGUAGAGCGUAUGUUUUACAUGUAUAAGGUCCUGUGUUCAGUCCCCAGCAUCUCCA